UUUAGUCUUUAGGCCUCGUUUGAUUGAAGGAGUUUGGCGAGGUUUACAGGGGAUUAUCCUCGCGAGGGUCAGAAACCUCGUGAAUCCUCGAGUCAUUAUUUGGUAGCCGGGGUUUGCAAGAGGGCACCCCCUGUGAUCCCCGAAAUUCCCCCUGAUCUAGGUGGUUUAGAAGCCCCGACGGGGGCCUCGUGGAAUGAAGGGGAAAAGAGGAGACGAACAGAAAAAGAGGAUGGGGGAGGCCGCCAUCGCCGCCGCCGCCGCCUCCAUGACGCCGGUGUCCCUUCUCCGGAAGACAAACCGCUCCUUCUCGCCAAAGUGCAAUGGUGGACAUUUAGCUCGUGGCACAUGCCUUGCCGAGCUCCCCAGCAGAUAGUGCCUGACUUGCAAGCACGACGCAGUGGAUGAUAUUGUCUCGUCGGCAAGGAUAAAGUGCUCCUACGAUGGCUACCAGAGUGACGUCACCUAGCACGAGGUUGACCAUCACAGUGCUUCUAUAGUUCUAUAGCAACAUGAUUAGUUUUGUGUGUGGAUUCUACUCGUAGCAAGUUUUUCAUGUUAUGAUGCUGUUUUGCUUGUAAAGAUUGGAUUUUUGCAUGUUUUGCACCAUCUUAUAUCAAUAUGCAAACCCUGCCUACCAAA